UACGAAGGGGGCGAGCGUUGUUCGGAUUUACUGGGCGUAAAGGGCGCGCAGGCGGCUCAUUUUGUCAGGCGUGAAAGCCCCGGGCUUAACCUGGGAACUGCGUUUGAUACGGAUGGGCUAGAGUUCGGGAGAGGAGAGUGGAAUUCCCAGUGUAGAGGUGAAAUUCGUAGAUAUUGGGAAGAACACCGGUGGCGAAGGCGGCAUCCUGGACCGACACUGACACUGAGGAGCGAAAGCCAGGGGAGCAAACGGG
rnacentral:rRNA from 1 species